rnacentral:rRNA from 1 species
AGUGAACGCUGGCGGUAGGCCUAACACAUGCAAGUCGAACGGCAGCACAGUAAGAGCUUGCUCUUACGGGUGGCGAGUGGCGGACGGGUGAGGAAUACAUCGGAAUCUACUUUUUCGUGGGGGAUAACGUAGGGAAACUUACGCUAAUACCGCAUACGACCUACGGGUGAAAGCAGGGGAUCUUCGGACCUUGCGCGAUUGAAUGAGCCGAUGUCGGAUUAGCUAGUUGGCGGGGUAAAGGCCCACCAAGGCGACGAUCCGUAGCUGGUCUGAGAGGAUGAUCAGCCACACUGGAACUGAGACACGGUCCAGACUCCUACGGGAGGCAGCAGUGGGGAAUAUUGGACAAUGGGCGCAAGCCUGAUCCAGCUAUACCGCGUGGGUGAAGAAGGCCUUCGGGUUGUAAAGCCCUCUUGUUGGGAAAGAAAAGCAGCAGGUUAAUACCCCGCUGUUCUGACGGUACCCAAAGAAUAAGCACCGGCUAACUUCGUG